CAGCAGUGACAAGCACACGCGGACCAGGCAGAGGCAAAGAGAGCACAGCAGCUUCAGGGAACUGCUAGUCCCGAGGGGUUGGAUGAAGCGCAGUGAGGGAAGGGAGAAACCAGGCAGGUUCUUUAUAAUCUCUGCUGCCUGAAGUUUUAAACUGGUUUUGGACACGCAAUUUUUAAAAUUAAAAUUUUCCUAAUGAGAAUAUAAAUUCUCCUAUGGCAGAGAGCUUGCCAUACAUCUUUCUUCCCAAAGGAGCUCCAUCCUAGUCUGAGAGACCUACUGCCAGGCAGCCAGGCCCAACUUUGGAAUCAUCAGAAGCAUGAACAGACAAGGAUAAAGGUCCCUACAGACAGAUAAGCUUUCUGCCCCUGGUGUUCGUGGGCUCCAUUCGGAACACAGAGGUCUCUGCUUCUAAGGCCCUGGCAGAGGUGAGUGGGGCUCUGGGGCUGCAGGGGGGGUGCAGCCCAUGCCCUCACCCUGGGUGACAUGGCAGAGGUAUUGCUUCUGAGGUAACCACUCUUGUAUCAGGUGUUGCUGCCUUAGUCUUUUGAUAAUUUGCCAGCCGAAUUCAGAAUUUUUCAAACAAUGGUUUUGGGGGGAGUCUGUGUGGUCUCAGGAACAAUUCAAUUUUGUGUUUUACUUUAGAAAGGAUAAGAACAAAGCUUAAUAUAAGCAUCUUCCGUGUCUUUGCCCUAUAGUGAUAGAGUGGCUUCUGUCCUUGGUACCCUGGGAGAAAGAAGGCUGGUCUGAAGAGAGAAAUGCCCUGUGAGGAUUAGGUUUCCCCAAAAUAGAUGCAAAAAGCCUGUUCUUGGAGUUCCCUGGUGGUCUAAUGGCUAAGGAUUAGGCAUCACUGGUGUGGCUUGUGUUCAGUCCCUGGCCUGGGAACUUCUGCAUGCCAUGGGCAUGGCCAAAAAAAAAAAAACCACAACCCACCACCGACGAAAGAGCCUGUUCUGGAGUAGAUAGACCAUCAUCAUGCUGUGAGCAACUAUUAUAUUCCAGAAAAACAACAUCGCAGAAAGGGUUAUAUUAAUGUAUUAAUGUUUCUAAUUUCAUUGGCCUUGCAGCUUUGCUUAUAAUUCAGAUAUAAGUCUGUUUCCAUUUUACAGUGGCACAGAAGCUGUAAGUCCAAGGAGUUUAAUAUGCAGAAAGUUCAGCAUUAAGUAAUGGCGUUAACAGAAAAUUUUAUAACAAAUUCUUUUUUCUUUAAAAGAAGUCAGGCCUGGGAGCUCCCUGGUGGCUCCAUGGAUUAAGCAGUGUUGUCACUGCUGUGGCUCUGGUUACAGCUGUGGUGCAGGUUCCAUUCUUCACCUGGGAACUUCCACAUGCCGUGUGUAUGAUUAAAAAAAAAGUCAAGCCUGUGAGGCCUUUGGUUUUUGAGGAAGUGGAUCAGUGGCUGACCUUAUGAUACCCUGUUGGUUUGGGGUUUUUUUUGGCCAUGCCCAUGGCAUGCAGAAGCUCAAGGAUCGAAUGAGCCACAGCCGUGACAAUGCUAGAUCCUUAACCUGCUGAGCCACCAGGGACUCCCUACUCUGUUGGUUUUGAGGCCCGGGUCCAGCUGGGACACCAAUUCAUGUACCCCAGAGACAACUGGUUCCAAAGCCUUCUUCCUUUGCAGCCUGACCUAAUGUGGCUGAGGUGAUGUCCUGCCAAAUGGGGUGCCAAUGAUUAUCGCCUUUGUAGGCAACAAAGUUUCAUAGCCAAAGACACUGGUUGGCACCACCACUGUUCUACCAAGUAACAAGACUCGAAAACAUGGCCCACCUCGCUCUGAUUUGCAGGAAUUUUGUUUGCAUAGUGUGUUAGAGGAAGUAAAGACAGCUGAAGACGUCAUUAUUAACUGCUUUGGGACACGCCAACUUAUACCAGAUGAACUAUGUUUGGAUGAUUCAGAUUUUUUCAAAAAUAAUUCACCCACUAGAAAAAAUACUAAAGACAUAAUGAAGGAAGGCAAGAAAUUUCAGAGAAGUGAUGCAAGAUUGCUGUCUUUAUAAUAUCCAUGUGAAUGUGGAAAGUAUAAGCAGGCUGAUUCUAAAACCUGUGGAAUACAUAGGAAUGUUACUUAUUUAGACGUUGGUCCAUUUGAAGCAGUCCUGAUGAUCAGUAAGGGCCAUUUAGACUUGCUUGACACUUCAACUUACACCUCUAAAAAUUACAGUGCAGACCUUAUUUCAAGAGUACUAUUGAGCAAGCUUGCUUAUUUUAUGCUUUAAACCUUAAAGUAUGCAGCAGCUAUAAAAUAUUAAUGAUCCUGGUACAAAACAAAGAGAAUGUCACAAGGGUUUCCCCUUCUGAAGUGUUUUAUUAUCUCAAAAGUUUAAAUAAGAUGUUCUACUGUUAUUGCUCUAGCUGUCUAGUCUAUUAGCAAUUGCCCUGGUGUGCUGAACAGGGUAAAUGAAUUCCUUAGACUUUUGCUGGAAUUAAUUUAAUGGUGUCAUGACUAAGUGGUGAACAGCAGAUUGUGACAAGCUCCAAGAGAUACUGUUGUUGUUGUUGUUGUUAUUAUUAUUGCUAUGUCUUUAACUUUGAUGAUUAAAAAAAAUCCAAUUCUGUUUAAAACUGGAAGGAAGGAGAGAAUCAGAAAGAGGAGGAAGAGUCAUUCAGUACCUUAGUCAAGCCUGAGAAACACUAGAGUAGGAAAUCUAUUUACCAAGCCAAGAUCCUAAGGUAUAAGAAUUUUCUUUGAAGAACUUAAAUUGGUAUAUUCUGUGGCUUUGAUAUUGAGGGCCCAAAUAAUCUUUUUUUAUUUUUAUCUUGGGGUGGCAGGUUCAGCAAAUCCAGG
rnacentral:lncRNA from 1 species